rnacentral:rRNA from 1 species
UACGUAGGAGACGAGCGUUGUCCGGAAUUACUGGGCGUAAAGCGCGUGUAGGCGGAUGAGCAAGUCUGCUGUGAAAGCUCCUGGCUUAACCGGGAGUGGUCGGUGGAAACUGCUCGUCUGGAGGACGGUAGAGGUAGGUAGAAUUCCCGGUGUAGUGGUGAAAUGCGUAGAGAUCGGGAGGAAUACCUGUGGCGAAGGCGGCCUACUGGGCCGGACCUGACGCUGAGACGCGAAGGCGUGGGGAGCAAACGGG